rnacentral:lncRNA from 1 species
UUGGUGUGAGCUUUCUAACCUCCAAGAGUUGGAUCUCAGUGACAAUGAUCUCAAGGGGAUGAUUCCGUCAUGUAUGGGAAACCUAACAUCAAUCCAGUUGUUGGACCUCUCUCAUAAUCAGUUGAGCGGAAAUCUUGCUUUGUCUCCACUUGGUCAUCUCACAACACUGGAGUAUCUUUACCUUUCCAAUAACCGUUUCGAGAUCCCAAUCCCAUUUGUCUCUUUUUAUAACCAUUCAAAGCUCAAGGUCCUUGCAGGUGACAACAAAGAUUUUAUUGACAAAUUUGAGUUUCAACCAAGGAUUCCUAGGUUUCAACUGGAGGUUUUAAUUUUAUCAAAUAGUUGGUCAAAAAAUCUUGCUGCGAAACUUCCGUAUUUUCUUUCCUACCAAUAUGACCUGAGAGUAGUUUUUUUAUCACACUACAACCUCGUGGGUACCUUUCCAGUUUGGUUGUUAGAAAACAAUACACGAUUGGAAGUUCUUCGUCUAAAAAAUAACUCCCUCGCAGGGCCUUUCAUGAUGUCGUCUCAUCCCAAUCCCCAUGCCGCUGAAAUUGAUAUUUCAUAUAAUCGCUUUGACGGCCAAGUUCCAACAAAUAUCAGUUUGAUCUUUCCGAACUUAAAAAUGUUAGACUUGUCUUUUAACCUAUUUUGGGGCCAAAUUCCUCCUGCUUUAGGUGACCUACAUUCUUUGCAGAUUUUGGACUUGUCAAACAAUAAUUUCUCAGGACAUGUACCAGAGCAUUUGGCAAUUGGUUGCUCCUCCUUAGGGUCCCUUGCACUAUCAAACAAUAAUUUGUCUGGCCAAAUAUCUCCUUCACUUUCUAAUUUAACCCGCUUACAGUAUUUAGCAUUGGACAACAAUCAAUUUGAGGGAAAACUUCCAAAUAGCUUAUCGACUCUCCCUUUGACUGUAUUGGAUGUUAGCAACAACCACAUAUCAGGCAAGCUUCCAAGAUGGAUGGGAAACAUGUCUAGCUUGAGGGGGAUUAUCAUGUUCUCAAAUCAUUUUGAAGGACUUAUUCCAGUAGAGUUUUGCAACCUCCAUUAUCUUGAAUUUUUAGAUCUUUCGGAUAACAACCUUUCUGGUUUUGAAACAUCUUGUUUCAACUUGUCAUUUCUAAGUCAUGUCCAUUUGAAUCAAAACGAUUUCAGCGGUCCAAUGACACAUAUAUUUUCCAACAGUUCUUCUUUGGUGACAAUGGAUCUUGGUGAAAACAAAUUCGUGGGUAUUGUUCCUGGUUGGAUCGGUAAUCUUUCUUUGUUGAGCAUUCUUAUCUUAAAAUUCAAUCAUUUUGAAGGCGAAAUUCCCAGUCAAAUAUGCCAGUUGAAAGCAUUAAGCAUAUUAGACCUUUCCGAAAAUAACUUUUCUGGUCUCAUACCUCCUUGCUUUAGUGACAUCCCUUUUAAGGCAUCAGAUCAAAAAUCUUUUGAAAACAGUGUUGGGUUUAAUCUAUAUUAUUUUACGGAAUUAACGCAUUGGAGAGAAGAAUUUCACUCGGAUGUUGAAGAAUCUCACACAUUAAAAUUUGCUACGAACCAAGUGGAGUUCAUGACAAAGCAUGGAUAUUAUGUAUAUAGAGGCCUUAUUCUUGAUUACAUGUCAGGAAUUGAUCUCUCUUGCAACCAUUUGACUGGGGAAAUCCCAUCUGGUAUGGGAAAUUUGGGUGAACUGCAUUCACUAAACUUUUCCUAUAAUAAUCUAACUGGAUCCAUCCCAGCAACGUUCUCACAGUUAAAGCAGAUCGAAAGUUUGGAUCUCUCUUAUAAUGCUUUAAAUGGAAAAAUCCCUCCUCAAUUGAUUGAAUUGAACAACUUGGCAGUCUUCAGUGUUGCACACAACAACUUGUCAGGUGCAAUUCCAGAACAAAAAGCUCAGUUCUCAACUUUUGAAGAAAGUAGCUACGAGGGAAAUCCCCUUCUCUGUGGACCUCCGUUGCAUAACAUUUGCACUGAAAACAGACCAAUAUCAACAAUGCAAAAAGACAAGGACGAAGAAAGAGAUGAUGGUGGUUUCGUGGAUAUGGAAUCUUUCAAUGUGAGUUUUAUUGUCUCUUAUGUUAUUGUUUUGCUGGCAAUUGUUGCAGUUUUGAUCAUAAACCCUCAUUGGCGAUAUGUUUGGUUUCGAUUCAUCGAAGUCUACAUGAACUCUUGCUACUAUUUUGUCUUGGAUAGUUUCUGGAAGAUUUUGAACAAAAGAAGUGUGUAAUCCCCCUUAUUUAAGAUUUACGUCUUGUGUUUUGCAUUGUAAGGACAUAAAACAUCCUAGCUCUCUAGUUUGGCAUAUGGUAUUAAACCUUUUCUUUCUCUGAGUUUGUGCAAAGAAACAUCCCAUGAAAAUGGGUUUUCAAUAAAUUGGUGCUUCUGAGUAAAAUUGGCCAUGGAGAGGCAAACAAAAAUUUCAUUGGGGGUACAUUUAUUGGAUUUAGCAAAAAUUAAUGUAUUGACCACGUUUGUUUGGGUUUUGGGGAGGCUAGCUCACUCUAUUUAGUUCAAUUUU